rnacentral:lncRNA from 1 species
GGUCCCUAAAUGAGCUGAUUCUCAUCAAAGCCGAGAAGCAUAGUCAGGUGUGGUGGCUCACGCCUGUAAUCCCAGCACAUUCAGAGGCCAAGGUGGACGAGCCACUUGAGGCCAGGAGUUCGAGGCCAGCCUGGCCAACAUGGAGAAACCUUGUCUCUAAAAAAUAAAAGAAUAAAGAAGCAGCAGAACUUUGUAGAGUCCCUCCAGGAAGCAGUGCCACGAGGCCUUGGGGCUGCUUACUACAACUGAAGGAAGUGUAAGCGACCGCCUCUCUGAGACAGCCAGAGAGGAAGUCUCAUUAGGUUGCCCAGACUGAUCUUGAAUCCCUGGACUCCAGCAAUCCACCUGCCUCGGCCUCCCAAAGUGCUUGGAUUAUGCGUGUGAGCCGUUGCACCUGCCACAUACCUGAAUUCUUUAUUGAGUGGAAAAUAUGGCUGACCACAACGCCCAGAUUUUAUAGACAGUAGUUCCACUGCCUUUGGGAAUCCAGUUCUUGUUCCCAAUUUCAGGUAUUAAUAUCCUAGGGAAUUCUCUGAUGUGCUUUUGGGUUUACCGGCCUCCCAUGGACCAUUCAUGUGUAGGAGGCAUGAAGGCCAGGGCACGUGAAAGCAUGCCUGCCGCCCUGGACACUGUUCAGCAGGUCCCAGAAGGAGCCUAUGUUUACAGAGUAAGAGGAGAGGCUGACCAGCAAACAGAAGGGUCUGAUUCAUCCCCAAAUCACGAGACGAGCAAGGAACAAGGGGGCUGGUUUGCCUGGAAUAGAGUGAACAAGAUAAAUGCAUGAGAGAUGAAGUCAGGAAGACCAUGGAGGCCACAAGCAUGAGGCCCGUGGGCCAUUCUGACACUGAGGUCUACUCCACAUGAGAAAUGAAGGAAAAUCAAGACACUAGCAGAGGGUGCAGAACUAAGUGAAUCUGUUGUCAGCAAAGGUGUCCCAAAAGAACGACUAAUGGAAGUUAUCUUAACAGAAAGUGAUAACAGAAGAGAUCUUGGAAUAUCAGAGACAAAGAAAGAACAAUGGAAAGAAGAAAAAAUGGGUAUGUAUAAUAGGCUUUCGUUCUCCUCAGUUUUCUAAAUUAUAUUCGAGAUAUGAAGCAAAAAUUAUAACACUGACAUGGUUCUCACCGCAUGUAGAGGAAAUAUUUAAGAUAAUCAUGUAUGAAUGUGGGAGGGUAAAGGACAUGAAGAACAUGAAGGGAAGUAAGGAUGACUUGAAUGGGUAAAACCAGUAGACUGUGGCAAGUUAUAUGUAUAAAAUAAAAUACCUGGAGCAACUGCUAAGGUCUACACUGUGCAAUACACUCAAAAACACUAUAGAGAAAUCAAAACAGAAUUCUAAAAAAUAGUCAAGUAAUUCACAGGGAGUCAGUAAAAAGGAGACAAGAGAAACAAACAAAAAACAGAAAUUACAAACAGAAAACAAAAAAUAAAAUGAAAGACUUAAACCUUAAUAUCAGUAAAAGAUGAGUUAGCAGAUGAGUAUUCAAAGGCAUACAAAUUGAUAUGAUGGACUUUGGAGACUCAGAAGGUGGGGAGAGUGAGAUUGGAGUAUGGGAUUAAAAAAUUACAUAUUGGGUACAGCAAACACUACGCGGGUGACAGGCGCACAGAAUUUGCUACUAUG